GAGCCGCUAUCAUGAUGAAUUUGCUGUUGCUGUUGUUGAUGAGGUUGUUGUUUUCAUUCUGGAAACUAUUUAUUUCAAUUAAUAUUUUAAUUUGCCUUCAAAUAGAUAUAUUUGUGCUUUAUAUUGUUUUGUGAUAGGCAGUUGGAAUGUUGGAUUGUUUGUUGUUUCUAAUUCUAUUUGUCGUUGAUAAUGUUAGUCUUAGCCUUCUAGAAGAAUGUGGCUGGAAUAUAUGCUGUGUUAUUGACUCAUUUUUCAGGAAUUGGUCGGUCAAUAAUGCAUCCUCUCUCUUAGCAUUGAAGCUGUGUUAUAGGUGCAUUGAUCCUACAUUACUUUGAAUGGCUAGGGAAACCUUAUAAGAAAAUGGCAUUUGCUUAGAUCAGGAAUCCAUUAUGAUUUCUCUAGGGGUUGGGAAAAUGAACAGUGACUUCAGUAUUAGACUGUUAUGCUCAUCCCAUAGCUUUCAUUUGUUUUUUUUAGGUCAGUGACCAUGUGAAUAAAAUUUUUUAUGGUUAGUUAUCCAGUCAGCAUUACACAUUUCCGAGGAUU
rnacentral:misc_RNA from 1 species